AGAAGGAUAAGCUAAAGAUCAAGCUAAUGGGUUCAUACCCCGUAAAUGAGUUUAAACUCUUCUUCUA
rnacentral:tRNA from 1 species